GGACUACACCAUCUGUCGCUCGCUCUAACGAGCCGGCGUUGCCGCCAGGGGACGCUCGGGCCGCAGGAGGUCGCUGGGUCGUGAGCUGGCGCCGGGGACGCCGAGCGACUGCGGGGUUUCCCUCAGCGUCCUGCUAUCCGGCUGCCCGCCGCGCUCCUUGGUAGUGUCCGUGGGCGCGCAGGCCUUGAAGAACCUCCUCGUGGCGGGACCCCGAGCGCAGGAGAGGUGUCAAAGAGCUGGCGCGUCUCCAGAGCCCCGGGAGGAAGGCUGUAACGGCAGCCCCAUCGUAGACAGGGACAUUCGCAUCCCGAGCCCUGGAUCUCUGAAAACCAGCCCAGAAUUUGGAAGCUGGAAGGAACUUUAGAUCGUCCAUUCUGAGUGUCUCUCUUCGCUGGCGUUUUCCCACUGAGGUUAUGUAAACAUGAAGAGGAGCCUACAAGUGUCAAGGAAAAAACGACAGCUAACCACAGGGCAGGCCAUGGGCAAGAUAUCUCAGUGUUCUCCGCUCUCAUAGGUCAGGUCACGACCCCCAGGAGACCUGGAGGACUGAAUGCUGCUGCCCCCAAGGAGGAGGCUGCCGUCUUAUCCCAGGAGGGAGAGCAGAACCUGCCUGAUCUCACUGCUGGAUCCCUCUUCUUCCUGCCAGGAAAAUAAAAAGGUUCAAAAGGAAGUUGCUGCGUAUCCAUCUGAGGCCUCUGAGGACAGCAAAGAGCAAAGGCCCUGGGACCGGGUCUACGUGCCCAUGACAGAGCUCUGGCUGGACUGGUUCUGAGC
ensembl:lncRNA NDUFA6-DT NDUFA6 divergent transcript